rnacentral:rRNA from 1 species
UCGGGAAUUUUGUGCAAUGGGCGAAAGCCUGACACAGCAACGCCGCGUGAAGGAUGAAGUCCCUCGGGAUGUAAACUUCGUAAGAAUAGGAAGAAUAAAUGACGGUACUAUUUGUAAGGUCCGGCUAACUACGUGCCAGCAGCCGCGGUAAUACGUAGGGACCAAGCGUUGUUCGGAUUUACUGGGCGUAAAGGGUGCGUAGGCGGCAUAUCAAGUCACUUGUGAAAUCUCCGGGCUUAACUCGGAACUGCCAAGUGAUACUGAUGUGCUAGAGUGCAGAAAGGGCAACUGGAAUUCUUGGUGUAGCGGUGAAAUGCGUAGAUAUCAAGAGGAACACCUGAGGCGAAGGCGAGUUGCUAGGCUGACACUGACGCUGAGGUACGAAAGCUAGGGGAGCGAACGGGAUUAGAUACCCUGGUAGUCCCUGAGCGGGCUGGCAAGGCGCAU